rnacentral:rRNA from 1 species
UACGUAGGUGGCAAGCGUUGUCCGGAUUUACUGGGCGUAAAGAGCGCGCAGGCGGCUCGGUAAGUCUGCUGUGAAAUCUCCCGGCUUAACUGGGAGGGGUCAGCGGAUACUGUCGGGCUUGAGGCAGGUAGAGGAAGGUGGAAUUCCCGGUGUAGUGGUGAAAUGCGUAGAUAUCGGGAGGAACACCAGUGGCGAAGGCGGCCUUCUGGGCCUGUCCUGACGCUGAGGCGCGAAAGCCAGGGGAGCGAACGGG